AGCAAUGUUAUUUUGAAUUGACAACUCGUUGAAUGCGGUCGUGUGCUGCCGGGCGGCGUGUUUGCAACAUUGUUUGGGAUCAAUUUUGCGCGGUUCCAAUAUCAAAAGCACAAAAAAAUAACAAAUUAUAAAUUAUUUAUAUCAUACUGCUGAAUUGUGCUGCACCACAGAUAGUUGUCAGUUGCUGAGCUUGUGUGUGUUUGCAACUGAUGCUUUUUUUGUUUUGUUUUGUGUGUAAAAUUUGUUGGUGUGCCCAGAAAGGGUGUGUACAAAAAAAAAAAAAACUACUCGUGUGCAGCUGUAAACAGGAGACGGGCGCAGGAGUCACGACCAGUGCGACAGAGAGAGGGAGGAAGCCAGAGCGAGAGAGACAAGGAGUGCAUUUCCCCCGUUGUGCGGUGCCAAAGUUAAUGUUAAACAAAAAAACGCUGAAGCAGCAACUUUAAGCCAACCCAUCGAGAAAGGAGGGGGCGUGUCGUUUGGCUAACGAUGUGGCUGACUGAUUUA